rnacentral:rRNA from 1 species
GCUGACGAGUGGCGGACGGGUGAGUAAUGUCUGGGAAACUGCCCGAUGGAGGGGGAUAACUACUGGAAACGGUAGCUAAUACCGCAUAACGUCGCAAGACCAAAGAGGGGGACCUUAGGGCCUCUUGCCAUCGGAUGUGCCCAGAUGGGAUUAGCUAGUAGGUGGGGUAACGGCUCACCUAGGCGACGAUCCCUAGCUGGUCUGAGAGGAUGACCAGCCACACUGGAACUGAGACACGGUCCAGACUCCUACGGGAGGCAGCAGUGGGGAAUAUUGCACAAUGGGCGCAAGCCUGAUGCAGCCAUGCCGCGUGUAUGAAGAAGGCCUUCGGGUUGUAAAGUACUUUCAGCGG